CUCACCCGGAAGUGCGGCAGAGGUACCGGGAACGCGGCGGUGAGGGUGACGAGCAGUUGCGGACCAGCGGGAGUGUUUGACUGGGUCGAGGAAGCGCUAGGAGCUUGGAAGGAAUCCUGGUAAACCCGAAGGAGGUAGACCAUGAGGGAGACUGUCCUCAGGAAACCAGAAGCGGAAGUGACCAGCCGAUGUCAGCCCAGUAUACAGGUAGGUUUGAGUACAUAUAGGCCAAAACUCCAGCUCCGCCUUCCCAUAUAUAUAAAUAUAUAUAUCUUUAUUUUUUUAAUGUUAAAAAUGCAUUUCUGAUUAUACCUUAUUUUUUACAUUUUGCAGCUUCCAAUGGGUUCAUUUUAUUUUCAAACAAUAAACAUUGUGGUUUAAUUAUCAAACUUGGGAAUUUAGUAGAAUUGUCAAGUAAAUUGCAAAUUUUAGGCUAAACUGGACAAAUUGUAAAAAAAUUAAACUCCCAGUUUUGUAAAUAGACCCAUUGUUUGAACUGAGAACUAUAAUUAUAUUGUAUGUAAUUAGAUUGCAUUUGUAUAUUCCUAUAAAUUUUAAUAUAUGUUGCCAAUGUAUCUUAAGAAUAAAAGCAAUAUACAUGUUCUAAAAUAAAUUUGCAUCUGAUUUGGAUUCUUCAUAUGAGGAGACUUGGUUUGGAACAGAUUCCCAGAAUAGUCCUAACAUACUGUAUGACUCAUGCAUUGGCUUACGGUUGAUUUGUGUGGGCGCAGUUUUCUACGCAGAGAUGCCUCUGUAAAUCAGCAAAUAGUAACCUAUAUGAGACAGCUGCCUUCCCCUCCUACCCACCCCUCUGCCACCAUGAAAAGGACAAGUUGGCAUUCUAUUACCACCUGCACUGCUAGAAGCUUUGGCACUGAGAUUGCACUUCACAAUUAACAUUUAUUCCCCAAGCUGUUUCGGUAAUUGUUACUUUUCAUUUAUUUAAAUGCAACAUUUAACUACAAUGCAAGAUUCUUUUUUUUAUUGUAGCAGCACGAAGUAUUUUAUUGACUAAGACUCCAGAUAUACAUCACACAGCAGCAUAUAAAGUGAUAUCUGAAUAGAAAACAAUGAAAAAAAAAAAUGAAAAAAAUAACUAAACCCAAAAGAAAAAAAAAAGAGCUAAACGAAAAAUGAUUGUGAAAUUAUAUAAUGCCAUCAUGUAAUUGUAUCCGCUAUAAACUAGAUUUGACGAUUUGCAAUCGUGCAAUUCUUUCAUUAUUGAUUCAGACAAAGUACCCAACAAAAGCACACAACGAAGACACCCUGUGAACAAAAUGUAUUUAGUUUACUAGCCAUGUGGUUAGCUAGUGUGAAAGUAGCUAGUUAUGGUUAGAUCUAAUGUUAAAGGAGCACUAUAGGAUUAGGAACACAAACAUGUAUUCCUGACCUUACAGCAAGGCCGGACUGGGAAUUAAAAGUAGCCCUGGAAAAAAAAUAUUUACCAGCCCCAUAAUGCGUCGCGCCAGCAUAGUGUGCAGAUACAGAGUUAGAAAAGAUAACUUAAAAUUAAAAAUUAUUACUCCAAUGUAAAAAGAGCACUCAUAGGCUUCAAAAUAAACAAAAGUGCAGAUUUAUUUUAAGCAGAUGUGCCUUUGCAUGUAAUCAAUGUUUCAAUCCAACUACCUUGACAUAUUAAGGAAAGCUUGGUAAUGGGACUGAAAUGGUGAAUGUAUGUAGGGCACAACGGUAAAAAAAAAUAUUUUGAAGUCCUGUGGGUGCGUUCUUCACUUUAAAUAUGUUAUUGUGCUGGAGUAUGCACCUAGCAACAAGACUGGGCCAAUAUCUGCUUAUUACAUAUGGUACAUAUUGAUGACAUUUCUCUGUGUAUUAUGCAUAUAUAAAUGUACAUUAAUAUGUGUAAGUAUAAUAGGCAUAAUUCUAAUGCUGGGAUAUGGGGCUGUAGUAGGGUAUAGGAGCAGUGGUGCAAUGUGUGAGGGGUGCAGUGUGUGUGAAAGGUUCAGUGUGUGUGUGGGGGGGGUGUAGUGUGUGAAUGUGUAGCGUGUGGGGCAAUGUGUGUAUGGUGGGGCAGUGUGUGAAUGUGUAUGGUGUGUGUGUGGGGGCAGUGUGUGAAUGUGUAUGGUGUGUGUUUGUGGGGGCAGUGUGUGUAUGGGGCUAGAGUUCACUCUCACUACUGUGACCACCAGGAAUCCCUGGUGGUCGCAGUGAUGAGAGUGAACUCUAGCCCGUAGCUCCAGGGCUAGAGUUCACCCUCGUGAGAGCUGGAGUGAUGCCAUGGUAACCGUGGCAACACUCUGUGCUCGCAUGAGAAGGACCCAGAGGAGCUCCAUGCUGAGCUCCUGGGUCCUCUCUUCCUCCCUCCCCUGCCGGCUGCUGGGGAGGAAGGGGACAUCGACUGGCAGGGGAGAGCCUCGUGGGGGAAUUGCCUCGUUGCUCCCCCAUCCACCAGUGAUAUAUACAGCCCCUAUGUGUGUCUCUUUUUAUCUCCAGCCCCUCUGUGUGUCUUUUUGUCUCCCCCUGUCCCUCUGUAUGUUUCUUUCUCCCCCUCACUGCUUCUCUGUGUCAAUGUCUCCCCUCUCCUUCCCAGUCUCUCUCUUCCUCCUCUGCCUCUUUCUCCCCCUCCCCUUGUAUGUCUCUCUCCUUUCUCCCUUUUUGUCUCUCUCUUCCCCUCUGUCUUUGUCCCCCCUUUUCCUGUGUCUCUUCCUCCUCCAUAUCUCUUUUCCUCCCCCCUUUCCCUGUGUCUUUCCCUCCUCCACAUCUCUCUUCCCCUGUCUCUUUCUCCUCCCUUACCCUGUCUCUCUUCCCCUCUGUCUCUUUCUCCUCCCUCCACCAUCUCUCUAUUCACCCUCUUUCUCCCCCUGUGUCUCACUCUUCCCCCUCUGUCUCUUUCUCCCUCUUUUCCUGUGUCACUCUCUCUCCCCCUGUCUCUUUCUCCCUCUUUUCCCUGUCUCUUUCUUCCUCUUUUCCCUGUGUCACUCUCUCUCCCCCUCUGUCUCUUUCUCCCUUUUUUCCCUGUGUCACUCUCUCUCCCCGUCUCUGUCUUCCUCUUUUCCCUGUAUCACUCUCUCUCUCCAUCUUUCUCCCUCUUUUCCCUGUGUCACUCUCCCUGUCUCUUUCUCUUUCCCUAUGUCUAUAUAUCCUCCAUUUACUGAGAGAAGUCAGGGGGCCGGCUGCAUUCCAGGCUGGAGCCGCCGGGCCGGGUGGCAGCCUCGCCGGUCUGGCGGCACUCCUGUCACUGAUGCUGAGGACGGAAGGAGGGAGGGAGCAUGUCUAUCUACCAUGGUCCCUCGCGGUUCCCACAAUUUCCAGCACAGCAUACUGAUACAGCUUACUGUGCUGGGAAUUGUGGGAACCGCAAGGGAGCAUGGUAGAUGGACAUGCUCCCUCCUCCUUCAGCCCUCAGCAUCAGUGACAGGAGAUCCACCGGACCGGCGAGGCUGCCAUGCGGCCUGGUGACUCCUGCCUGGAACGCGGCCGGCCCCCUCUGAGUGUGCCACUGGUGGCACCUAUAUGCGCAGCCCCUAGAUGUCACAGCCCACCGGUAAAUUUCCUGGUAUCCCGGUGGGCCAGUCCAGCCCUGCCCUACAGUGUUAAAACCACCAUCUUGCCCCCCUGGUACCUCCUUGCCUCCCUACAUAUAGUAAAAUCUUACUUGUGUUCAACUCUGCAGCUGCUAACUCUGCCCCUAAUCUGCCUGCAUGCCUGACAUCAUCAGAAGUGAUUCUCUGAGGAAGCACCUCUAGCAGCCAUCUGAGGAGUGGCCAGUGGAGUUAUCCCUAGGUUGUAAUGUAAACACUGCAUUUUCUCUGAAAAGACAGUGUUUACUGCAAAAAGCCUGAAGAGUAUGAUUAUACUCACCAGAACAAAUACAAUAAGCUGUUGUUGUUCUGGUGACUAUAGUGUCCCUUUAACUAACCAUUAAAACAGUAAAAGUUAAAGCAUAACAUAAUGCACUUGGGAAGCCAUUUAUAGAAGAAGAUAUAGACCUAUUCCAAUCACCGCCAUAAGAUAUACUUAUUUAUUUUACUAGUACAGUUAAUUUGAACAGUACAUAAAACCAGUCUCAAAAAGUCUCAAAAUAAAAAAUAAAAUUGUUAGUGCCACUCUAUAUAUACACUGGCCUAUUUCUGUAACCUUCGAAUACUGUCAUAAUUAUAGAAGAUCUUCGGGCAAUUAUCCCAUAUCACAAAGAAUAAAACACGGUAAGUUAUAUCAGGUACAUGAGUGCUACCCACCACUGCAAUGUCAACAACCACAUCUGCAUCUUCCACUAUACCACGGCCACUAACAGGUAUACAAACAAUGGAUGGAUUAGCGCUUAGUGGCCACCUAGAAUAUAUAUUCAAGUAUAAGGGUCCCUCAAAAACCAUCAAAGAAAAGAAUUGUAUACAAUCGUAUAGUUAUUAGGCAAGGGAGAAAGAUAAGGCAGAAAUAGUGCUCUCUGUAUAUAUAUAUAUAUGUAUAUAUAUAUUUUAAAUAUAUUAUUAAAGGUCUUAUACUCACAUUUAAGUGAGCAUGAAAUACUGAUCACUUCUAUGGGCGUAGGUGGUAUAAUCCCCACCUGGGAUUCUCUAGCGAGUAGAUCUUCGAGAAUUCUUAGUUAUACCACCUACGCCUAUAGAAAUGAGCAGUAUUUCUUGCUCACUUAAAUGUGAGUACAAGACCUUUAAUUAUAUAUAUAUAUUUAAAUUUUUUUAAUUAUACAGAGAGCACUAUUUCUGCCUUAUGUUUCUCCCUUGCCGGUACAUCUCUACCCUGAGGAACCUCCCAAAAUAUACCAUCACCUAUAUCCUACCAGUGGGGGAUCAACGCCACUGAAUGCAAGUCAUACUUGAGUAUGUACUAGCUCUAUAAUAGGUGAUAGACAUGUGCAAUUCGUUUCGGUCCGAAUGUGGAUUCGGACGAAUUUCGGGCAAUUUGGACCUUUCGAGUACUUCCGAAUGUCCGAAUAGAUGAAUUGCCGAAUUGUUGAAGUCCCGAAGUUCCAAAAUCACCGAAUUUCUGAAGUGUCGAAGUGCCGAAGUUCCGAAGCACAGUAUUGCCUAAGAACUAAUAUACUUACCCAGUGGAAGAAUGAAGAAUGUUACACUGUAUACAAUUCUAAAUAAAAAGUAUACAAACAUAGCCAGGAUUCAGCUGUAAGCAUUUGCAACAUUUACAACAAUCAAGUAAUAUACAUUCAUAUAAAAUGUAAGUUACUUAGCCAGUCAAUGUAAUGACAGGAAUGAAUAAGUAGAUAACUCCCUAAUUCCCACGGUAUUAGGGAGCUAUCUACUAAAAGGCUGAAAGACCUAAAUUGAUCUUUCAGUCAAAUUUACUAAUACUAAGUAAAGAUUGUAAAAUGUAGCUCCAAUACAUACUCUUUCAGGAUUACCUUUUUAAUUAUUUUAAUAUAUAUAUAUAUAUAUAUAUAUAUAUAUAUAUAUAUAUAUAUAUAUCUAAUAUAUACCUGUAUGUAUUUUUGUGACAAUUCAUUUACAUAUUUUUUUAUAUUUUAUAUAGUUUUUAUAUACUCUUAAUAUAUAUGUUCUUUAUAUAUAUAUAUAUAUAUAUAUAUAUAUAUAUAUAUAUAUAUAUAUCUUUUUUUUAUAUAUAUAUAUAUAUAUAUAUAUAUAUAUAUAUAUAUAUAUAUAUAUAUAUAUAUAUAUAUAUAUAUAUUCUGGCUAGAUGAUGUGAUCUCUAGGUAUUACAUCAUAUUUAAUUGUAUUCCAAUUAAUCCUGUUUUUUUUCUUGUCCCUCUUCUCUUUUACCAGUAUUUUGUUUAUUAUUAUUUUUAAUAGAAUUGUGCAUCUUCAAAAGGCAUCCUAUAUUUCCAUAUCCUGUUUAUAUGAAAGCUCUUAUGAAUUCUCUGAUCCCACUUUAUAUUUAAAUACAACUUUUUGUAAUAAUUGACACCAUCACUAACUGAUAAUAUAUCUUUUAAUAUAUAUGUGUUUUAAUAUAUAUGUGUUUUAUUGUACAAUUAUACUCUGUAUACACAACUUGUUUUGUAUAUAUAUCCUUUUUUAAUACAUAUAUCUCUAUUGCUUUACCGUUUGCACAUUAUGCUGUUUAAUUAUCUGCAUUAUGCUAAAUCUGUAUUCAGAUAGUUAAGUAAUUAUAUUGACUAUUUAGCGGAAUAUGUAUAUGAAGCACCACUACAGCAUUGAAUCUCUAUCCGUCUCUGAAGAAGUAGGGGCACACCUACGAAACGCGUAAGACUGUAAGGACACACAUCAGGACUCAGUUCUACCAGACAUACGUCACCCACAGUCAGCAUCCUUUCAGGACCUAUUGGUUUGUGUAUCGCUACGAAGCUGCUCACAGCACACGUCCCUCCAGAGUGAGGCUCCCGCAGGGACGCUUGGUGAAUUCACACGCUGUCCUCUCCAGCGGAAAUACCAUAAACGGCUAAGAUUUCAAUCCAU